AUAGAAUGCGAAAAGGAGUCUUUUGUUUACUCGAAUUCUGGUUGAUGGUGGAGUCAAUGCCCGAACCAAUAACCCUUGCAGAUUAAUGAUAAUAAAUCAUGCUAGUUCGACGUCUUCAUUAAUCGCCAAGGAUCAAUUUGAGGCACCGAUUGCUUCUGCUUCAGACCUAGAAUAGCAGUUUGUGAGAAACUAUUGGCAUACAAGUGAAGGUAUUCGAUGAAAUGCUUGGAAGAAAGAUAAUUGUUGAUUAGGCGCAAGGUGUUCGAUGAAUUGCUUCACCAAAAAUCCAUUGCUGGUUAGCAUCGUUUAGUACUGCGCCUUUGAUCCUUUCAACCGUGCAUUUGAUAAGGCUGUUGACGGUUGCGACGGAGCCCAGAGAGAGCUUGGCGGUGGGGACGGAAUCGACCAAUAUCUGGAAGGCGACGGUGAGCAGGGAUCCGAC